rnacentral:rRNA from 1 species
GAGUUUGAUCAUGGCUCAGGACGAACGCUGGCGGCGCGCUUAACACAUGCAAGUCGAACGUGAAGCCCGGGCUUGCCCGGGUGGAAAGUGGCGAACGGGUGCGUAACACGUGAGGAACGUGCCCCGAAGACCGGGAUAACUCGAGGAAACUCGUGCUAAUACCGGAUGUCCUCACCGGAUCGCAUGGUCUGGUGAGGAAAUGGAUUCCGCUUCGGGAUCGCCUCGCGGCCUAUCAGCUUGUUGGUGGGGUAACGGCCUACCAAGGCAACGACGGGUAGCUGGUCUGAGAGGAUGUCCAGCCACACUGGGACUGAGACACGGCCCAGACUCCUACGGGAGGCAGCAGUGGGGAAUCUUGCACAAUGGGCGAAAGCCUGAUGCAGCGACGCCGCGUGCGGGAUGAAGGCCCUCGGGUCGUAAACCGCUUUCAGCAGGGACGAUAGUGACGGUACCUGCAGAAGAAGCCCCGGCCAACUACGUGCCAGCAGCCGCGGUAAUACGUAGGGGGCAAGCGUUGUCCGGAUUUAUUGGGCGUAAAGAGCUCGUAGGCGGUUCGAUAAGUCGGGUGUGAAAUCUCCAGGCUCAACCUGGAGGCGCCACUCGAUACUGUCGUGACUUGAGUUCGGUAGAGGAGUAUGGAAUUCCCGGUGUAGCGGUGAAAUGC